rnacentral:rRNA from 1 species
UACGUAGGGAGCAAGCGUUGUUCGGAUUUACUGGGCGUAAAGGGCGCGUAGGCGGCAAAUUAAGUCAGCUGUGAAAUCUCCGAGCUUAACUCGGAACUGUCAGCUGAUACUGAUCUGCUAGAGUGCGGAAGGGGCAAUCGGAAUUCUUGGGUGUAGCGGUGAAAUGCGUAGAUAUCAAGAGGAACACCUGAGGUGAAGACGGGUUGCUGGGCCGACACUGACGCUGAGUGCGCGAAAGCCAGGGGAGCAAACGGG